CGCUACUUCACAGCGUCUCUUUCUAGGGCUCAAUGACACCUUGGCUGUGCAAGUCGGACCAUCUGAGGAUAGGCUGAGUUGUGGCUGAUCUGUCUGAACAUGCGCUUCCUCUGAACACUUCUGUCAAUGAAUUCUGUUUCCUCAACUCACAGUCAGCUGGGUGUGUGAUGCUCAGGAGAACACCACCACAGCUGGUCAUUUCACUGCUUAAGUUCUCACUGGCUUCCUUCAGCUCCUAGAGAAAUCUCAAGGUCAAGAUCACAUAUAGACUUACAAAAGCAAACCAGAUCCCUGCCAUAGAGUUUCUGACCAGCCCCAAGAGAUGGGGAAGAAUGACGCUAUGGACUCUUCCCCAGCACUGUAGUUUGGGGAGCUUCUCUCAC